rnacentral:rRNA from 1 species
GAAGAGUUUGAUCAUGGCUCAGAUUGAACGCUGGCGGCAGGCCUAACACAUGCAAGUCGAGCGGUAACAGGAAAGUGCUUGCACUUUUGCUGACGAGCGGCGGACGGGUGAGUAAUGUCUGGGGAUCUGCCCGAGGGCGGGGGAUAACCACUGGAAACGGUGGCUAAUACCGCAUAAUGUCGCAAGACCAAAGUGGGGGACCUGAAAGGGCCUCACGCCCGC